UGAUAAGUGGAGAUUGGAGAAGGAAAUUUGACAUCAAAUAUGGAAAUUCACAACUACUUCUCAUAACAAAAAGGACCUCUUCAAGGGUCUUAACUUGUUCAUUCAUCUCAAUUGGAACAUGUCAGAUUCAACAACAAAAUCAACAUGAACCCACCACAUUAUGAAGUUAACAUUGGAGGGAAACUGCAAAGUCACAUCUCAUAUGAGUUCUUGAUUUACAAUAUGAACAAAGGAUUGAAGUAGAAAAUAGAAUAAAAAAGCAAUCAGGUAAACCAUCACAUCAGACAUCUAGAGGUGCUCAUGCACAGCUAUCUACUGCAGAUAACAGUUGAAGGCAAUAGAUGCUGAAAGUGGUAAUGAUAUACAAGAAUCUAACCUUCCAAGGACGAUCAAGUACUAAAACCCUGUUUUGCCUUGAGAACAAGCUCUUCAGUUGUGGUGCCAAUAAUCUCAUUGGCACGUUUUAGGCCAACACAAUAAUACCGUCCAAGAGUAUCCUGCAUUCAAAGAAAUUUUAGAGACAGAUGAAACACAAACAUCACACGCAAAACAUUGCAUAAAGAGUACUCCUAAUGUUCAAAGCCUAUGUUACAUCCUAAGCUGAUAACAUAAUCAAAAUUCAAACAAACAAGCUUUUCACUUGUGCUAGUCCCUGAAAAGUGUGAAUCACUAACUGUCUUUAGGGCUCCACGCAAAUACAUGAACCUUUUGUUUUGUCAUAGACAAUAAUUCCCUUGUCAUCCCAUAAACCCUACACUUGAACCUAAGACAAGCCUUUCAUUAGCAUACUCCACUCAGGAAGGGGAAACCCCAAAAGUACCAAUCUAAGAAAUAUGCAACAAAAAUGAAGUACCGGCUCAAAUGCCUCUUUGAGUGUCUUUAUAACUAUUAGCCCAAUGAUGACAACGUGAUCCAACUCAACAAAUAUAGUCCUACGUAAAACGCCACGCGAAACCAGUUAGGCACUCAUCUUAAAACAACUUGAAGCUGAUAUCUAACUUGACAUUUUUGGAUGCCUAAAGAAACAUUUCAAUAACAAUUAUAAGCAACUAGAAGUACAUUCUCGUUUUGGCAGAGAGAAAACAGCACAUUGUAAUACAGUUUCUCACCCGAGCAACAAUGCCCAACUUCUCUAACUUCUGAACUGCAUCAUCCACAUCAAAAUUACAGCUCUCUCCAAACUCUUCUUGAAUUAAUUCCUCACACCGCAGAUCCAAAUCCUAUUUCACAUCAUCUCAAAGUUGUAUAUAAGUAAACAUACAAGAACUUCAAAUACAAAGAAAGGACAAGCAGAUAUACACACCUGCAUUGUAGCCUUGCCCUGUUCCAUCAAUAUGAAGAAUGAGAUAAGAACCUCUUUGACCUGAAAUAUCAAGUUGAUUUAACCAUCUGGAAAGACAUAAAUAAAUAUAGGACAUGCUUCAAUCCUGAAUCAGGUCAGUCCUUUCAAAUGAUCAAGUGUUGACAUGUUACUAUGACUUCUUAAUUACAAGAAACAUAUUUUUAAUCUAUCCAUCUAUAAUAUUUUUAAUUAAGCACACUUUUUGCCUUCAAUUGGGUGGGCAAUUGUCAGUCCAGAGCUUUUACUGCACUAUAUUGACAUCAGUAUAUUAUUUAUUUAUUUAUUUUGGACUUUGAUUAAUUCAUUGGGCUUAUUCAAUGGUGAAUGCACCAUUUUUAAUUGUGGAUUUGGGAACCUCUCAUGUUAACAAUAAAAUUAUAUGCCAAGCUUAAACAAUCAAAUUUGUUGAAUUUGUUAAGAUUUAAGAAUAAGAA
rnacentral:misc_RNA from 1 species